rnacentral:rRNA from 1 species
GAGUUUGAUCGUGGCUCAGAUUGAACGCUGGCGGCGUGCCUAACACAUGCAAGUCGAGCGGUAACAGGUGUAGCAAUACAUGCUGACGAGCGGCGGACGGGUGAGUAAUGCUUGGGAAUCUUCCCGGUAGUGGGGAAUAACCAACCGAAAGGUUGGCUAAUACCGCAUACGUCCUACGGGAGAAAGCGGGGGACCGUAAGGCCUCGCGCUAUCGGAUGAGCCCAAGUCGGAUUAGCUAGUUGGCGGGUAACGGCCACAAGGCGACGAUCCGUAGCUGGUCUGAGAGGACGACCAGCCACACUGGGACUGAGACACGGCCCAGACUCCUACGGGAGGCAGCAGUGGGGAAUAUUGGACAAAU